rnacentral:rRNA from 1 species
GACGAACGCUGGCGGCGUGCUUAACACAUGCAAGUCGAACGGAAAGGCCCUGCUUUUGUGGGGUGCUCGAGUGGCGAACGGGUGAGUAACACGUGAGUAACCUGCCCUUGACUUUGGGAUAACUUCAGGAAACUGGGGCUAAUACCGGAUAGGAGCUCCUGCUGCAUGGUGGGGGUUGGAAAGUUUCGGCGGUUGGGGAUGGACUCGCGGCUUAUCAGCUUGUUGGUGGGGUAGUGGCUUACCAAGGCUUUGACGGGUAGCCGGCCUGAGAGGGUGACCGGCCACAUUGGGACUGAGAUACGGCCCAGACUCCUACGGGAGGCAGCAGUGGGGAAUAUUGCACAAUGGGCGGAAGCCUGAUGCAGCAACGCCGCGUGCGGGAUGACGGCCUUCGGGUUGUAAACCGCUUUCGCCUGUGACGAAGCGUGAGUGACGGUAAUGGGUAAAGAAGCACCGGCUAACUACGUGCCAGCAGCCGCGGUGAUACGUAGGGUGCGAGCGUUGUCCGGAUUUAUUGGGCGUAAAGGGCUCGUAGGUGGUUGAUCGCGUCGGAAGUGUAAUCUUGGGGCUUAACCCUGAGCGUGCUUUCGAUACGGGUUGACUUGAGGAAGGUAGGGGAGAAUGGAAUUCCUGGUGGAGCGGUGGAAUGCGCAGAUAUCAGGAGGAACACCAGUGGCGAAGGCGGUUCUCUGGGCCUUUCCUGACGCUGAGGAGCGAAAGCGUGGGGAGCGAACAGGCUUAGAUACCCUGGUAGUCCACGCUGUAAACGGUGGGUACUAGGUGUGGGGUCCAUUCCACGGGUUCCGUGCCGUAGCUAACGCUUUAAGUACCCCGCCUGGGGAGUACGGCCGCAAGGCUAAAACUCAAAGGAAUUGACGGGGCCCCGCACAAGCGGCGGAGCAUGCGGAUUAAUUCGAUGCAACGCGUAGAACCUUACCUGGGUUUGACAUGGAUCGGGAGUGCUCAGAGAUGGGUGUGCCUCUUUUGGGGUCGGUUCACAGGUGGUGCAUGGCUGUCGUCAGCUCGUGUCGUGAGAUGUUGGGUUAAGUCCCGCAACGAGCGCAACCCUUGUUCACUGUUGCCAGCACGUUAUGGUGGGGACUCAGUGGAGACCGCCGGGGUCAACUCGGAGGAAGGUGGGGAUGACGUCAAGUCAUCAUGCCCCUUAUGUCCAGGGCUUCACGCAUGCUACAAUGGCCGGUACAGAGAGUGGCGAGCCUGUGAGGGUGAGCGAAUCUCGGAAAGCCGGUCUCAGUUCGGAUUGGGGUCUGCAACUCGACCUCAUGAAGUCGGAGUCGCUAGUAAUCGCAGAUCAGCAACGCUGCGGUGAAUACGUUCCCGGG